UACGUAGGGUCCGAGCGUUGUCCGGAAUUAUUGGGCGUAAAGGGCUUGUAGGCGGUUUGCUGCGUCGGAAGUGAAAACUCAGGGCUUAACCCUGAGCCUGCUUCCGAUACGGGCAAACUAGAGGGAUGCAGGGGAGAAUGGAAUUCCUGGUGGAGCGGUGGAAUGCGCAGAUAUCAGGAGGAACACCGGUGGCGAAGGCGGUUCUCUGGGCAUUUCCUGACGCUGAGAAGCGAAAGCGUGGGGAGCAAACAGGCUUAGAUACCCUGGUAGUCCACGCCGUAAACGGUGGGCACUAGGUGUGGGGAACAUUCCACGUUCUCCGUGCCGAAGCUAACGCAUUAAGUGCCCCGCCUGGGGAGUACGGCCGCAAGGCUAAA
rnacentral:rRNA from 1 species